rnacentral:rRNA from 1 species
AACGAACGCUGGCGGCAUGCCUAACACAUGCAAGUCGAACGAGACCUUCGGGUCUAGUGGCGCACGGGUGCGUAACGCGUGGGAACCUGCCUUUAGGUUCGGAAUAACUCAGAGAAAUUUGAGCUAAUACCGGAUGAUGUCUUCGGACCAAAGAUUUAUCGCCUUUAGAUGGGCCCGCGUUGGAUUAGCUAGUUGGUGGGGUAAAGGCCUACCAAGGCGACGAUCCAUAGCUGGUCUGAGAGGAUGAUCAGCCACACUGGGACUGGGACACGGCCCAGACUCGUACGGGAGGCAGCAAUGGGUAAUAUUGGACAAUGGGCGAAAGGCUGAUCCAGCAAUGCCGCGUGAGUGAUGAAGGCCUUAGGGUUGUAAAGCUCUUUUACCCGAGAUGAUAAUGACAGUAUCGGGAGAAUAAGCUCCGGCUAACUCCGUG